AGAACGAACGCUGGCGGCAGGCUUAACACAUGCAAGUCGAGCGCCCAGCAAUGGGAGCGGCGGACGGGUGAGUAACACGUGGGAACAUGCCCUUUGGUACGGGACAACUCAGGGAAACUUGAGCUAAUACCGUAUGUGCCGGUAACGGGAAAGAUUUAUCGCCAAAGGAAUGGCCCGCGUCCGAUUAGCUAGUUGGUGAGGUAAUGGCUCACCAAGGCACCGAUCGGUAGCUGGUUUGAGAGAACGACCAGCCACACUGGGACUGAGACACGGCCCAGACUCCUACGGGAGGCAGCAGUGGGGAAUCUUGGACAAUGGGGGCAACCCUGAUCCAGCCAUGCCGCGUGAGUGAUGAAGGCCUUCGGGUUGUAAAACUCUUUCGACGGGACGAUAAUGACGGUACCCGUAGAAGAAGCUCCGGCUAACUUCGUGCCAGCAGCCGC
rnacentral:rRNA from 1 species